AGCUGUGUUGCUGUGCCUGCGUAAAACAUCUGAUGGUCUAAUAAAGACCUAAGUGCCCAAUAGUGAAGCAGGAGAAAGGAUAGGCAGGGCUGUCAGGCAGAAAGAAUAAAUAGAAGGUGAAAUCUGGAAAAAAAAAAAAGAAGAAGAAGAAAAAGCAAGAGAACAAGAAGAAAAAGGAAGAAGGAACCAGAGAAGGAGGAGGACUCCAAGGGCCAGUCACCCAGCUACACAGCAAGCCAUGGAGUAAGAGUGAAAAUUGGCUGUAUGCGGGUCCAGCUGGGCACCAACGAUAACAGCUAACAUAGUCAGCUCUUGACUGGGGCCCAGCUUCACCGACGACUUUACAAAUGCUGUGAGAGGCAUGACAACAACGACGAACUGGGGUCAAAUGCAUGACUUCUGGAGACCCCACCCCCACCCCAGCCUCACCCCACUCACCCACGUUCACACCUAUCCUCGGCACUAGGGAGAUCAGUUACCUGGACUAGAGCUGAAUGGGCUGCUGGCCAGAGCUUUUCAGGCUGCAGGGACAAGGCCCACAGAGGUGAUGGCUGUUCCUGGGGCUCCACACAAGGAUCCCCCCACUGUGAGGACCAGCAUCUUAGCAAGUUGGCUGCUCUGUGCCUUGAUUUUCCCAAAGUAAGAGUCCCUGUCUUAGUGUGUUGCAAGAAAUUUUGAGUUGAUGUGCUGGAAGGGCUAUACAAGGCUGGCAUGGAGCAGAUCCCCACCAGGCUGACACAGAGCAGACCCCCAGUUAUCACCUGCUCCGCUCACCUUUCUUAUUAUCCCCAUCCUUCCGGCAACUUCAGGUGACAGUCUCUGUGAGGAACACUUUACUGAGCACAAUGAGGCCAAGCAGAUCUCUACCCUCAGUGUUUAUAACCUGGCAGUUCAGACAGACUCAGAAUGAGGUAUUACAAGUCCAGUGAGUGGGAUUAAGAAAUGCCUGGAGAGUAAAGAAAAAAAAUGAAAUGCUAACAUUUGCCAUGAAAAUGCGGAAAAAUGGAGGUUACCACAUUAAAUGAAAUAAGCCAGA